GGCUGCUCUUCCCCUUUCCCCCAAUGGUUUAUUUGCUAGAAGAGUCUUUUCCUACCAACUCUGAGCUUGAUGCAGACAGACAAGACACUUACCUGCUUUCGAGUCGGAGUUUCAACUCUGUCGCCCAGGCUGGAGUGUAGUGGUGUGAUUGUGUCUCACUGAAACCUCGAACUCCAGGGUUCAAGCAAUCCUUCCACUUCAGACUCCCAAGUAGUUGCGAUUACAGGCUCUUGUGCUUCACUGUUCUCCGGUGCCCUCCCAGGGUUGCCCAGGGCAGGCUUGGGGGCUGACACAGUGACUGACAUUGGGUGAGCUACCUGCGGAAAAGGGCCAGUUGGAAGCUACUAAAAAGUCUGGAAAAGGUUAUUGGUCUCGCUCUAUUGCCCAGGAUGGAGUGCAGUGGCAUGAUCUCAGCUCACUGGAGCCUGGACCUCCCAGGCUCAAGCUAUCUGCCCAUCUCAGCUUCCCAAGUAGCUGGCACUACAGCCAGAGCAGGCCAGUUUCAAUAUGGUGGAUGUUGAUUCUGAAAAGGGGAUGCUAUGGACACUUGGCAAGGACGACUGUCCCGAAGACUGCAACUCUGGCCACUGCUUCCCGAAUAAAUGUCUGUCAAGCACCUUCCCUAAAUUUUGCCAUAAUCCCUGCUCUCACUUCCACCCCACUUCCAAGGUUCUUAAUUGUUCCAGCAACAUCUUUACCCAGCUGAGAUAUGAUGAAACUGCAGUUAACAAAGCAAAGUAAAACAAAACUAUUUGCCUUUGCUCUUUUCAGAUGUAUACUGAUGCCAAAAAAACACCAUAAGGUAUCAGUUGACUCACAUGGGCAGGGGAAAGAGAGGAGAUAAUACUGAGCCUUGUCACUACAGUAACCAAAACAGCAUGGUACUGGUACCAAAACAGAGAUAUAGACCAAUGGAACAGAACAGAGGCCUCAGAAAUAACACCACACAUCUACAACCAUAUGAUCUUUGACAAACCUGACAAAAACCAGUAACAGGGAAAGGAUUCCGUAUUUAAUAAAUGGUGCUGGGAAAACUGGCUAGCCAUAUGUAGAAAGCUGAAACUGGAUCCCUUCCUUAUACCUUAUACAAAAAUUAAUUCAAGAUGCAUUAAAGACUUAAAUGUAAAACCUAAAACCAUAAAAACCCUAGAAGAAAACCUAGGCAUUACCAUUCAGGACAUAGGCAUGGGCAAGGACUUCAUGACUAAAACACCAAAAGCAAUGGCAACAAAAGCCAAAACAGACAAAUGGGAUCUAAUUAAACUAAAGAGCUUCUGCACAGCAAAAGAAACUACCAUCAGAGUGAACAGGCAACCUACAGAAUGGGAGAAAAUUUUUACAAUCUACUCAUCUGACAAAGGGCUGAUAUCCAGAAUGUACAAAGAACUUAAAGAAAUUAACAACAACAAAAAAAAUCAAACAACCCCAUGAAAAAGUGGGCAAAGGAUAUGAACAGACACUUCUCUCUCUCUCUCUUUUUUUUUUUUUUGAGAUGGAGUC
ensembl:lncRNA novel transcript, antisense to CECR2 and SLC25A18